GACGGAGGAUGCAAGCGUUAUCCGGAAUGAUUGGGCGGAAAGCGUCCGCAGGUGGCAGUUCAAGUCUGCUGUCAAAGACCGGGGCUUAACUUCGGAAAGGCAGUGGAAACUGGACAGCUAGAGUAUGGUAGGGGCAGAGGGAAUUCCUGGUGUAGCGGUGAAAUGCGUAGAGAUCAGGAAGAACAUCGGUGGCGAAGGCGCUCUGCUGGACCAUAACUGACACUCAGGGACGAAAGCUAGGGGAGCGAAUGGG
rnacentral:rRNA from 1 species